ensembl:misc_RNA
ACGCCCCGUCGGCUGCCCUUCGGUUUGAAGUUGUGUUCUGGUGAUUUCGGGGGGGGGGAUUUUUUCGGCGCGAUCCUGGCGUCGCGCUCCGCUCGGACAGGUCACCCCUUCCGUCCCGCUAGAUUGAUGAGAUCAGGCAUC